UACGAAGGGGGCUAGCGUUGUUCGGAAUUACUGGGCGUAAAGCGCGCGCAGGCGGCUAUCCAAGUCAGUGGUGAAAGCCCGGAGCUCAACUCCGGAACUGCCAUUGAAACUGUUUAGCUUGAGUAUGAGAGAGGUGAGUGGAAUUCCCAGUGUAGAGGUGAAAUUCGUAGAUAUUGGGAAGAAUACCGGUGGCGAAGGCGGCUCACUGGCUCAUUACUGACGCUCAGGCGCGACAGCGUGGGGAUCAAACAGG
rnacentral:rRNA from 1 species